rnacentral:ribozyme from 1 species
ACGAAAAAAAAGAGAAGAAAGAAAAAAGCUAAUAAUACGUGUACACUUAUUUGAAAUUUUUU